rnacentral:rRNA from 1 species
CCCUUAGAUGUUCUGGGCCGCACGCGCGCUACACUGUUCGACGCAGCGAGUCUUAACCUUGACCGAAAGGUUUGGGUAAUCUUCAGCAAAGUCGAACGUGAUGGGGAUCGAUCAUUGCAAUUAUUGAUCAUAAACGAGGAAUUCCUAGUAAGCGCAAGUCAGCAGCUUGCGUUGAUUACGUCCCUGCCCUUUGUACACACCGCCCGUCGCUACUACCGAUUGAAUGGUUUAGUGAGAUCUUCGGAUUGGCGCCACUGCAGCUCAGCAAUGGGCUUGGUGGAUGCCGAAAAGUUGAUCAAACUUGAUCAUUUAGAGGAAGUAAAAGUCGUAACA